CCUAUUAUAGUUUUGAAAAACUUAGGUAUUUCACACCUUAAGCCCAAGCUUAAACCUUGGUAAUAGUA
rnacentral:tRNA from 1 species